rnacentral:rRNA from 1 species
GAUGAACGCUGGCGGCGUGCCUAAUACAUGCAAGUCGAGCGAACGGACGAGAAGCUUGCCUCUCUGAUGUUAGCGGCGGACGGGUGAGUAACACGUGGAUAACCUACCUAUAAGACUGGGAUAACUUCGGGAAACCGGAGCUAAUACCGGAUAAUAUUUUGAACCGCAUGGUUCAAAAGUGAAAGACGGUCUUGCUGUCACUUAUAGAUGGAUCCGCGCUGCAUUAGCUAGUUGGUAAGGUAACGGCUUACCAAGGCAACGAUGCAUAGCCGACCUGAGAGGGUGAUCGGCCACACUGGAACUGAGACACGGUCCAGACUCCUACGGGAGGCAGCAGUAAGGAAUCUUCCGCAAUGGGCGAAAGCCUGACGGAGCAACGCCGCGUGAGUGAUGAAGGUCCUCGGAUCGUAAAACUCUGUUAUUAGGGAAGAACAUAUGUGUAAGUAACUGUGCACAUCUUGACGGUACCUAAUCAGAAAGCCACGGCUAACUACGUG